rnacentral:rRNA from 1 species
ACAAAAUGACUCUCGGCAACGGAUAUCUCGGCUCUUGCAUCGAUGAAGAACGUAGCGAAAUGCGAUACUUGGUGUGAAUUGCAGAAUCCCGUGAACCAUCGAGUCUUUGAACGCAAGUUGCGCCUGAAGCCAUUAGGUUGAGGGCACGCCUGCCUGGGUGUCACAC